rnacentral:rRNA from 1 species
UACGUAGGGGGCAAGCGUUGUCCGGAAUCAUUGGGCGUAAAGAGCGCGUAGGCGGCCCUGUAAGUCCGCUGUGAAAGUCAAGGGCUCAACCCUGGGAUGCCGGUCGAUACUGCCGGACUAGAGUUCGGAAGAGGCGAGUGGAAUUCCCGGUGUAGCGGUGAAAUGCGCAGAUAUCGGGAGGAACACCAAUGGCGAAGGCAGCUCGCUGGGACGUUACUGACGCUGAGACGCGAAAGCGUGGGGAGCAAACAGG